UACGUAGGGUGCAAGCGUUGUCCGGAAUUAUUGGGCGUAAAGAGCUCGUAGGCGGUCUGUCGCGUCUGCUGUGAAAACUCGGGGCUUAACCCCGGGCCUGCAGUGGGUACGGGCAGACUAGAGUGCGGUAGGGGAGACUGGAAUUCCUGGUGUAGCGGUGAAAUGCGCAGAUAUCAGGAGGAACACCGGUGGCGAAGGCGGGUCUCUGGGCCGUAACUGACGCUGAGGAGCGAAAGCAUGGGGAGCAAACGGG
rnacentral:rRNA from 1 species